rnacentral:rRNA from 13 species
UCAAGUGAAGAAGCGCAUACGGUGGAUGCCUUGGCAGUCAGAGGCGAUGAAAGACGUGGUAGCCUGCGAAAAGCUUCGGGGAGUCGGCAAACAGACUUUGAUCCGGAGAUCUCUGAAUGGGGGAACCCACCUAGGAUAACCUAGGUAUCUUGUACUGAAUCCAUAGGUGCAAGAGGCGAACCAGGGGAACUGAAACAUCUAAGUACCCUGAGGAAAAGAAAUCAACCGAGAUUCCCUUAGUAGUGGCGAGCGAACGGGGAUUAGCCCUUAAGCUUCAUUGAUUUUAGCGGAACGCUCUGGAAAGUGCGGCCAUAGUGGGUGAUAGCCCCGUACGCGAAAGGAUCUUUGAAGUGAAAUCGAGUAGGACGGAGCACGAGAAACUUUGUCUGAACAUGGGGGGACCAUCCUCCAAGGCUAAAUACUACUGACUGACCGAUAGUGAACCAGUACCGUGAGGGAAAGGCGAAAAGAACCCCGGAGAGGGGAGUGAAAUAGAACCUGAAACCGUAUGCGUACAAGCAGUGGGAGCCUACUUGUUAGGUGACUGCGUACCUUUUGUAUAAUGGGUCAGCGACUUAUAUUCAGUGGCAAGCUUAACCGUAUAGGGUAGGCGUAGCGAAAGCGAGUCUUAAUAGGGCGUUUAGUCGCUGGGUAUAGACCCGAAACCGGGCGAUCUAUCCAUGAGCAGGUUGAAGGUUAGGUAACACUGACUGGAGGACCGAACCCACUCCCGUUGAAAAGGUAGGGGAUGACUUGUGGAUCGGAGUGAAAGGCUAAUCAAGCUCGGAGAUAGCUGGUUCUCCUCGAAAGCUAUUUAGGUAGCGCCUCAUGUAUCACUCUGGGGGGUAGAGCACUGUUUCGGCUAGGGGGUCAUCCCGACUUACCAAACCGAUGCAAACUCCGAAUACCCAGAAGUGCCGAGCAUGGGAGACACACGGCGGGUGCUAACGUCCGUCGUGAAAAGGGAAACAACCCAGACCGCCAGCUAAGGUCCCAAAGUUGUGGUUAAGUGGUAAACGAUGUGGGAAGGCUUAGACAGCUAGGAGGUUGGCUUAGAAGCAGCCACCCUUUAAAGAAAGCGUAAUAGCUCACUAGUCGAGUCGGCCUGCGCGGAAGAUGUAACGGGGCUCAAACCACACACCGAAGCUGCGGGUGUCACGUAAGUGACGCGGUAGAGGAGCGUUCUGUAAGCCUGUGAAGGUGAGUUGAGAAGCUUGCUGGAGGUAUCAGAAGUGCGAAUGCUGACAUGAGUAACGACAAUGGGUGUGAAAAACACCCACGCCGAAAGACCAAGGGUUCCUGCGCAACGUUAAUCGACGCAGGGUUAGUCGGUUCCUAAGGCGAGGCUGAAAAGCGUAGUCGAUGGGAAACAGGUUAAUAUUCCUGUACUUCUGGUUACUGCGAUGGAGGGACGGAGAAGGCUAGGCCAGCUUGGCGUUGGUUGUCCAAGUUUAAGGUGGUAGGCUGAAAUCUUAGGUAAAUCCGGGGUUUCAAGGCCGAGAGCUGAUGACGAGUCGUCUUUUAGAUGACGAAGUGGUUGAUGCCAUGCUUCCAAGAAAAGCUUCUAAGCUUCAGGUAACCAGGAACCGUACCCCAAACCGACACAGGUGGUCGGGUAGAGAAUACCAAGGCGCUUGAGAGAACUCGGGUGAAGGAACUAGGCAAAAUGGCACCGUAACUUCGGGAGAAGGUGCGCCGGCUAGGGUGAAGGAUUUACUCCGUAAGCUCUGGCUGGUCGAAGAUACCAGGCCGCUGCGACUGUUUAUUAAAAACACAGCACUCUGCAAACACGAAAGUGGACGUAUAGGGUGUGACGCCUGCCCGGUGCCGGAAGGUUAAUUGAUGGGGUUAGCGCAAGCGAAGCUCUUGAUCGAAGCCCCGGUAAACGGCGGCCGUAACUAUAACGGUCCUAAGGUAGCGAAAUUCCUUGUCGGGUAAGUUCCGACCUGCACGAAUGGCGUAACGAUGGCGGCGCUGUCUCCACCCGAGACUCAGUGAAAUUGAAAUCGCUGUGAAGAUGCAGUGUAUCCGCGGCUAGACGGAAAGACCCCGUGAACCUUUACUGUAGCUUUGCACUGGACUUUGAGCCUGCUUGUGUAGGAUAGGUGGGAGGCUUUGAAGCGUGGACGCCAGUUCGCGUGGAGCCAUCCUUGAAAUACCACCCUGGCAUGCUUGAGGUUCUAACUCUGGUCCGUAAUCCGGAUCGAGGACAGUGUAUGGUGGGCAGUUUGACUGGGGCGGUCUCCUCCUAAAGAGUAACGGAGGAGUACGAAGGUGCGCUCAGACCGGUCGGAAAUCGGUCGCAGAGUAUAAAGGCAAAAGCGCGCUUGACUGCGAGACAGACACGUCGAGCAGGUACGAAAGUAGGUCUUAGUGAUCCGGUGGUUCUGUAUGGAAGGGCCAUCGCUCAACGGAUAAAAGGUACUCCGGGGAUAACAGGCUGAUACCGCCCAAGAGUUCAUAUCGACGGCGGUGUUUGGCACCUCGAUGUCGGCUCAUCACAUCCUGGGGCUGAAGCCGGUCCCAAGGGUAUGGCUGUUCGCCAUUUAAAGUGGUACGCGAGCUGGGUUUAGAACGUCGUGAGACAGUUCGGUCCCUAUCUGCCGUGGACGUUUGAGAUUUGAGAGGGGCUGCUCCUAGUACGAGAGGACCGGAGUGGACGAACCUCUGGUGUUCCGGUUGUCACGCCAGUGGCAUUGCCGGGUAGCUAUGUUCGGAAAAGAUAACCGCUGAAAGCAUCUAAGCGGGAAACUUGCCUCAAGAUGAGAUCUCACUGGGAACUUGAUUCCCCUGAAGGGCCGUCGAAGACUACGACGUUGAUAGGCUGGGUGUGUAAGCGUUGUGAGGCGUUGAGCUAACCAGUACUAAUUGCCCGUGAGGCUUGACCAU